UACGGCCAUAUCAUGUUGAAACAUUGGUUCCUGUACGAUCACCGAAGUUAAGCAAUGUCGAGCCUGGUCAGUACCUAGAUAAGUGACCACUUGGAAAUACCAGGUGCUGUAA